GCUCGCAUCGGCAGCAGUACAUACGAAAAUCCGGAUGACACAGAGAAGAUUAGCAUGGCCCUUGCACAGGGAUGACACGCAAAUUUGUGAAGCGUUCCAUAUUUUA